UACAGAGGGUGCAAGCGUUAAUCGGAAUUACUGGGCGUAAAGGGCGCGUAGGCGGUUAUAUAAGUUAGAUGUGAAAUCCCCGGGCUUAACCUGGGAAUGGCAUUUAAUACUGUAUGACUAGAGUAGAGUAGAGGGAAGUGGAAUUUCCGGUGUAGCGGUGAAAUGCGUAGAUAUCGGAAAGAACACCAGUGGCGAAGGCGGCUUCCUGGACUCAUACUGACGUUGAGGCGCGAAAGCGUGGGUAGCAAACAGG
rnacentral:rRNA from 1 species